rnacentral:rRNA from 1 species
AUUGAACGCUGGCGGCAUGCCUUACACAUGCAAGUCGAACGGUAACAGGUCUUCGGAUGCUGACGAGUGGCGAACGGGUGAGUAAUACAUCGGAACGUGCCUAGUAGUGGGGGAUAACUACUCGAAAGAGUGGCUAAUACCGCAUGAGAUCUACGGAUGAAAGCAGGGGAUCGCAAGACCUUGUGCUACUAGAGCGGCCGAUGGCAGAUUAGGUAGUUGGUGGGAGAAAAGCUUACCAAGCCGACGAUCUGUAGCUGGUCUGAGAGGACGAUCAGCCACACUGGGACUGAGACACGGCCCAGACUCCGACGGGAGGCAGCAGUGGGGAAUUUUGGACAAUGGGCGAAAGCCUGAUCCAGCAAUGCCGCGUGCAGGAUGAAGGCCUUCGGGUUGUAAACUGCUUUUGUACGGAACGAAAAGCCCUGGGUUAAUACCCUGGGGUCAUGACGGUACCGUAAGAAUAAGCACCGGCUAACUACGUGCCAGCCGCCGCGGUAA